rnacentral:rRNA from 1 species
AGGGUGUAAACGCUGCAGACUUGGUGUUGGAGGCCCUUUGGGGGGCAUUCAGUGCCGGAGAGAAGUUGUUAAGUCUGCUACUUGGGGAGUACGUCCGCAAGGAUGAAACUUAAAGGAAUUGGCGGGGGGAGCACCGCAACGGGAGGAGCGUGCGGUUUAAUUGGAUUCAACACCGUAAAACUCACCAGGGAAGACUGUUACAUGAAGGCCGAGAUGAAGACUCUGCUAGAUUUUCAGAGAGGAGGUGCAUGGCGUCAGUGACU